UUGCUCUGUGGAUCAGUGGCGAACGGGUGAGUAACACGUGAGCAACCUGCCCCGGACUCUGGGAUAAGCGCUGGAAACGGCGUCUAAUACUGGAUACGAGACGCAACCGCAUGGUUAGUGUUUGGAAAGAUUUUUCGGUCUGGGAUGGGCUCGCGGCCUAUCAGCUUGUUGGUGAGGUAAUGGCUCACCAAGGCGUCAACGGGUAGCCGGCCUGAGAGGGUGACCGGCCACACUGGGACUGAGACACGGCCCAGACUCCUACGGGAGGCAGCAGUGGGGAAUAUUGCACAAUGGGCGGAAGCCUGAUGCAGCAACGCCGCGUGAGGGAUGACGGCCUUCGGGUUGUAAACCUCUUUUAGCAGGGAAGAAGCGAAAGUGACGGUACCUGCAGAAAAAGCGCCGGCUAACUACGUGCCAGCAGCCGCGGUAAUACGUAGGGCGCAAGCGUUAUCCGGAAUUAUUGGGCGUAAAGAGCUCGUAGGCGGUCUGUCGCGUCUGCUGUGAAAACCCGAGGCUCAACCUCGGGCCUGCAGUGGGUACGGGCAGACUAGAGUGCGGUAGGGGAGAUUGGAAUUCCUGGUGUAGCGGUGGAAUGCGCAGAUAUCAGGAGGAACACCGAUGGCGAAGGCAGAUCUCUGGGCCGUAACUGACGCUGAGGAGCGAAAGGGUGGGGAGCAAACAGGCUUAGAUACCCUGGUAGUCCACCCCGUAAACGUUGGGAACUAGUUGUGGGGUCCUUUCCACGGAUUCCGUGACGCAGCUAACGCAUUAAGUUCCCCGCCUGGGGAGUACGGCCGCAAGGCUAAAACUCAAAGGAAUUGACGGGGACCCGCACAAGCGGCGGAGCAUGCGGAUUAAUUCGAUGCAACGCGAAGAACCUUACCAAGGCUUGACAUACACGAGAACGCUGCAGAAAUGUAGAACUCUUU
rnacentral:rRNA from 1 species